ensembl:snRNA U6 U6 spliceosomal RNA
GUGUUCUCUUCAGCAGCACAUAUAAUAAUACUGGAACCAUACAGAGAAAAUUAGCCUGGCCCCUGAGCAAAGAUGACACACAAAUUUGUGAAGCAGUCCGUAUUUUU